rnacentral:rRNA from 1 species
UACGUAGGGUGCAAGCGUUAAUCGGAAUUACUGGGCGUAAAGCGUGCGCAGGCGGCUUUGCAAGACAGAUGUGAAAUCCCCGGGCUUAACCUGGGAACUGCAUUUGUGACUGCAUGGCUGGAGUGCGGCAGAGGGGGAUGGAAUUCCGCGUGUAGCAGUGAAAUGCGUAGAUAUGCGGAGGAACACCGAUGGCGAAGGCAAUCCCCUGGGCCUGCACUGACGCUGAUGCACGAAAGCGUGGGGAUCGAACAGG